rnacentral:rRNA from 1 species
GACGAACGCUGGCGGCGUGCCUAAUACAUGCCAGUUGAGCGCUGAAGGUUGGUACUUGUACCAACUGGAUGAGCAGCGAACGGGUGAGUAACGCGUGGGGAAUCUGCCUUUGAGCGGGGGACAACAUUUGGAAACGAAUGCUAAUACCGCAUAAAAACUUUAAACACAAGUUUUAAGUUUGAAAGAUGCAAUUGCAUCACUCAAAGAUGAUCCCGCGUUAUAUUAGCUAGUUGGUGAGGUAAAGGCUCACCAAGGCGAUGAUACAUAGCCGACCUGAGAGGGUGAUCGGCCACAUUGGGACUGAGACACGGCCCAAACUCCUACGGGAGGCAGCAGUAGGGAAUCUUCGGCAAUGGACGAAAGUCUGACCGAGCAACGCCGCGUGAGUGAAGAAGGUUUUCGGAUCGUAAAACUCUGUUGGUAGAGAAGAACGUUGGUGAGAGUGGAAAGCUCAUCAAGUGACGGUAACUACCCAGAAAGGGACGGCUAACUACGUG